rnacentral:rRNA from 1 species
GACGAACGCUGGCGGCGUGCUUAACACAUGCAAGUCGAACGAAGUGGCGAACGGGUGAGUAACGCGUAAUCAACCUGCCCUUCAGAGGGGGACAACAGUUGGAAACGACUGCUAAUACCGCAUACUGAAGGAGGGGAUUGCGUCGGAUUAGCUCGUUGGAGGGGUAACGGCCCACCCAGGCGAAGAUCAGUAGGCGGUCUGAGAGGAUGAACGGGCCACUUGGGACUGGGACACGGGCCAGACUCCUACGGGAGGGAGCAGUGGGGAAUCUUCCGCAAUGGGCGAAAGUCUGACUGAGCAACGGCGGGGGGGUGAUGACGGCCUUCGGGGUUUAAAGCUCUUUUAAUCGGGACGCGGUACCGGAAUAGAAAGCAACGGCUAACUACGUGCCAGCAGCCGCGGUAAUUC